AUUGAACGCUGGCGGCAGGCCUAACACAUGCAAGUCGAGCGGAUGAAGGGAGCUUGCUCCUGGAUUCAGCGGCGGACGGGUGAGUAAUGCCUAGGAAUCUGCCUGGCAGUGGGGGAUAACGUCGAAACGGGCGCUAAUACCGCAUACGUCCUGAGGGAGAAAGUGGGGGAUCUUCGGACCUCACGCUAUCAGAUGAGCCUAGGUCGGAUUAGCUAGUUGGUGGGGUAAAGGCCUACCAAGGCGACGAUCCGUAACUGGUCUGAGAGGAUGAUCAGUCACACUGGAACUGAGACACGGUCCAGACUCCUACGGGAGGCAGCAGUGGGGAAUAUUGGACAAUGGGCGAAAGCCUGAUCCAGCCAUGCCGCGUGUGUGAAGAAGGUCUUCGGAUUGUAAAGCACUUUAAGUUGGGAGGAAGGGCAGUAAGUUAAUACCUUGCUGUUUUGACGUUACCAACAGAAUAAGCACCGGCUAACUUCGUG
rnacentral:rRNA from 1 species